CAUACGGUGGGUGGGGAGCACAUGGAGGUGGCGCUUUCUCUGGGAAAGACUCGUCUAAGGUAUCGUAUCGACUACCGGUAUAUCAACAGUCGAUUAAUAAUUGAUUAAUCAUAUUGAAUCAUAACAUGCUGCAACUGUUUGUCCCUUUAAUGAAUUCUACGAUGGUCAUUUUAAGUCCCAGCCAUGCACUUUCAAGACACGUUUACAUUUAUAGAAAUUGUAGUAAAUUUAGAGUAAAAUUGUAUGUUGACCCGAAACAAUAAUUAGAGGUUACCUACACCAAAUAAUAGCCAAAGUUCAAUUUUGCUCAUGCAUUUUGUAAAUUUUUCAAUCUGGUGUCUCGUUAUAUAAGUGGAAUUUGAUAGCGAGUAUGAGUGUGGGUAUAAUAUGCAAGAGAUGCCAAUAUGACGUAUAUAUUACAUGCAUAACGCUGUGUGUUUCAGGUGGACCGCUCAGGAGCCUAUGCUGCAAGAUGGGCGGCGAAGUCUCUUGUAGCAGCAAAACUUUGCAAACGUUGUCUUAUCCAAGUUUCGUACGCCAUUGGUAUUGCAGAGCCUCUGUCAAUCUCUGUGUUCUCGUAUGGUAGUGGGGAAAAAAGUGAUGAGGAAUUAUUAGAAAUUGUGAAAAAGAAUUUCGAUUUUAGGCCUGGCAUUGUGGUUAG